AGUGGACGCUGGCGGUAGGCCUAACACAUGCAAGUCGAACGGCAGCACAGUAAGAGCUUGCUCUUACGGGUGGCGAGUGGCGGACGGGUGAGGAAUACAUCGGAAUCUACUUUUUCGUGGGGGAUAACGUAGGGAAACUUACGCUAAUACCGCAUACGACCUACGGGUGAAAGCAGGGGAUCUUCGGACCUUGCGCGAUUGAAUGAGCCGAUGUCGGAUUAGCUAGUUGGCGGGGUAAAGGCCCACCAAGGCGACGAUCCGUAGCUGGUCUGAGAGGAUGAUCAGCCACACUGGAACUGAGACACGGUCCAGACUCCUACGGGAGGCAGCAGUGGGGAAUAUUGGACAAUGGGCGCAGGUCUGAUCCAGCCAUACCGCGUGGGUGAAGAAGGCCUUCGGGUUGUAAAGCCCUUUUGUUGGGAAAGAAAAGCAGCAGGUUAAUACCCCGCUGUUCUGACGGUACCCAAAGAAUAAGCACCGGCUAACUUCGUG
rnacentral:rRNA from 1 species